UGCCCACCGCGAGCCGCCGCGGCGCCUCCGACUCCUGCAGCCGCCCCUGUGUCCCCGCCAGCUCCGAGGCCGCUGCAGCUCCAGAGACUGAGCGUCUGUCGGGCCGUCCCCCGAAAAGCCGAUGUGCAGCUACUAAUGGCUGCUGCCGCGGGCGCCGUUUCGGGGCUGUCCCCCCCCCGGGAUCUUCGAUGGCCGUCACACCGGACGCCGCUCUCCAGCGAGAGCCACACCCCGGACGCACCUAUUCCGGAGUUGGACAGGGAUGUUCAGUUCGCACCGUCCAGGGCUAGCAUGUGCGGUGAAGGCCGGGAAGGGCGCUGAGAGACGAGGUCGCCUGCUGCGCUGGCUGAGUACUGUGCGCUUAGGGACGCCCACCCCAGGUUUCUGGAAGUCAGAAGCCGGUGGAUGGCAGCUGGGAAGCAACCUGGCCGGCUCCCCUCACUAGGACCAUGGGUUUGAUGGGGCAGGCCUAGUUUCCUUCGGAAGGAUUGAAGGAAGGCCCGUAGCUCAGAUUUGGUGUUCGAGGUGGAGGGGUCAGGUAGGGGCCGGCUGCGGUGGGGUGCCCUGUGGAGCAUAGGCUGUCCUCCCUUUAUUUGGUGACUACCCGUUGAGAUGGAGGGCGUCAUGUAGGGAGCCCCGUCUUCUUCAACUUUCCACCCACAGUUCCUCCCUUCCUGGGGAUGCUCUCCUCCUCUGUGGGAGACCUCCAUUGGUGUUAAUGGUCCAGGUCCACCAUUUUCAGCAUCCCACAGCGACUCUUCUCCAGACCAAAGUGUCCUGUCCAUCCCCUAGGCGCCUUGCUCCCCCCACCAGUCUCUCCCAACACCUCAGGUUUCUCAGGAGCUUCCUUUACUCUCUAACUUGGGUCCUCGGGUCAUAAUCUGUGCUACUGUCUCUUCAGCUGCUGUUCUGCUGUCCAGUGGCCCUAGAACAUCACACUAAGUCUUCUCUUUCUUCUGACAGUCUUUUGAGAAAGGAAGGUCACCAAGCGUGAGCGUCGGGCCUGGGGUUGUACUUCAAGUCCAUGCUUGCUCAACAUCUAAAUGAAGCCCUGUGUAGUUCAGUCCCCAGCACUGCAUAAAUUAGCUGUGGGGAUACACACCUUUACUCUUGGCGGGAAAGACUAGAGGAUUAGAAAUUCGAUGUCCUUGCCUACUCAGAGAGUUCAAGGCCAGCCUGAUGGCUACUGUUAGCUGUCAGCCGGAUACAAUGGGAAGAGAGUUGCAAGUGGAGAUUGUCUAGUUCAGGUUGGCGUUUUCCUUUUCUUUUCUCAAUUGGGGCAAAGCCUCCUCAUAGAGCCCUGGCUUGCUUGUACUUGUGCAGGCCAGCCUGACCUUGAUGAGGCGUGCCGCAGUUCAGGCUCUUCACUGUGCAUAUGACUACUGCCUUCAGGUUCCUCGGCUUCCCUGGAUUGGAAGCAAGGACAAGAUGCGCCCCCUGCUUCAGAGGAAGGCCCCACCUUUAUCUUCUGUGGUUGUUUACUUGACAAGACAGUUUGGAACAGAAGGGUGAACGCAUCUGUCCUCAAAGCCGGCUAAGAUAGUGUGUGAGUCCUCCGCUUUGCUGUGGCCGCCCGCUGAUGACCUGAUGUCUCCACCGAUGCCUUUGAAAGCACCUUGAUUGGGGACUUGCUUUGUUCUGUUACUACAAAAACUUCAUGAAACUGCCUCCACGUUAAAACACCGAUUUUGGGGUGCCAAAUGUUCCUGGGCCAAUGUCACUCAUACUUGACUCCAAAACAAACUCUUUUAUCCCCUUGAGACAGCUGCCUGGUCACGCGCAGCAGCGCUCCUAACUACGGUAUGUGUGGUUAGCCCUCACCCGCUUUCCCCACGGGGACAUCUUGAGAAACCACAACGUGUACUCCAAGAAGAUAAAGACCGUUUCCUGGCUACCAGCACACCCCAUGUUGCCCUUUUACAGCCACGCCCUCCUUCCUUUGUCCUGUCCCCACCUCCCACCUCCACUUCCAGCUACCACGAAUCUUUGUUUCUAUAAUUCUGUCGUUUCAAGAAUGCAUCCAUUCACCAGCUUUUAAAAACCUUGAGGAAUCACUUUACUUAUUUUGUGGAGGUCAGAGGACAACUUGGAGGAGCCCUUUUCUCUCCUUCCACCAUGUGAGCCCCGAGGGUGGGACCAGGGGCCUUUCCUUGCUGAGCCAUCUCAUUGUCCUCUCAUUCAAUAUUUGUGACCCUCCCUCCCUCCUUAGUAUCGUUCUGUGGAGACUUGUUUAAGUUAUAUGCACCAACAGCACAUUUUUAUUGGGAAGUGUUUUUUCUUUGUUAUUUUUAGUUGAGAGUUUUAUUGUUGCUUCUGUAGGGACGGGGGCCUCAGAGUAUUCAGGGAUGACCUUGAACUUCUGGGCUAGUCUUGAUCCCCAACACUUGGACCAAUUUUAGUUUUGUCCUGUCCCCCACCUUCACUGUCACCCCUAGCGAGCUCCUGAAACUGGCCUUCUGACUUAGAACUUCCCUAUGUCUAACAUAAUGUCUUUGUGACCAUUAAGUAAAUCAUUUGGAAUGUAUAAACAAAACCUCUGUCUCCCAUUUACAGCCGGCUAAGAUAGUGUGUGAGGCCUCCGCUUUGCUGUGGACACAAAGCGCCCACACCUGGGUUCUGUGGUGCUGGGGACCCAGCCCUCCCUGCGUGCUGGGCAGCACUCUUCCGGCUGACUUGCAUCCUUGGCCCUGCUGUGGCUUUUUCACGCCCUGUGAUUCUUGCGAGUAGCUAAUGGCACGGAACGGAACGCUGUUCCCUGUGUCUGCUUCCCAUCUCUUUAUCUUCCGUGGGGAACUACUUCUUGUGAAGGUUCUGAGGCCGUCUCUUUCUUCUUGUGUUGAGUUCUGCACGCAUUCUGUACACCAGCAGUCUGAUGAAUUGUCAGAUGUGUGGAUGGCCAUUAUAUUCUCCCUGUCUGUGACUUGACUUUCUGUUCUUCUAGCAAACCCUUUCCAGAAUAAAAUAAAAUCCAUGUUGCCAAUU